UCAUUUGGGUAAAUACCCAGGAGUAUGAUUGCUGAGUUAUAUGGUAUGCACAUGUUUAACUUUAUAAGAAACU